GUAACGCGUGGGAACCUUCCCUGUGGUACGGAAUAGCUCCGGGAAACUGGAAUUAAUACCGUAUACGACCCUUUUUGGGGAAAGAUUUAUCGCCAUAGGAUGGGCCCGCGUCGGAUUAGCUUGUUGGUAGGGUAAUGGCCUACCAAGGCAACGAUCCGUAGCUGGUCUUAGAGGAUGAUCAGCCACACUGGGACUGAGACACGGCCCAGACUCCUACGGGAGGCAGCAGUGGGGAAUAUUGGGACAAUGGGCGAAAGCCUGAUCCAGCCAUGCCGCGUGAGUGACGAAGGCCUUAGGGUUGUAAAACUCUUUUGGCGGGGACGAUAAUGACGGUACCCGCAGAAUAAGCCCCGGCUAACUUCGUG
rnacentral:rRNA from 1 species